rnacentral:lncRNA from 1 species
UUUUUUUCUUUUUUUUUUUAAGGUCUAUGGGUUUUGUUUUUUACAUGCAAACAUUGUAAAUUAUACAGAAGAUACCACAGAUAGCAUUUAUAAAGUAUACAGAAACAUUAUCUGAAAGCAAAGUAUGAUAGUUUGUUUUGCUAUACAGUACAUCUAUAUUGAUAGAGGUUCAUGUUUAAAUUAUACAUAUUUAUUAGCAUCGUAUUAUCAUUUGUUUUGAGCAGUCUGAAUAAACGAGACCGGGAAAAACAUCCCUGGCAGGCAUCAUAACUAUUUUGCACAUGAUUUUUAAAGGUAUUUAUUAGAAAUCAAAGAACGCUCAAAAUAAACUCAGUGCUCAAAGGGUUAAGUCUAUUUGAAAAGGUUAAAAAAAAAAAAGAACAAAAAAAAAGAACUUGUACUGUAUUUCCUAAACAUUGAUAAAGCCUUUAAAAUGUUUGUACUGUAAUACUUUGCUUAAAAGUCAUGAGGCAUUCUGUGAUCCAACCUCUUUCACUUAUUUAUAAGCCCUCUUGGUUGCUAUUCCAUAUUGUAGGAUGCCUUUCUAUUUCAAUUGGUAACUUUCUGUUUUGUUCUUCCUAAUUAUUCUCCCAAGAUCCCACACUGCAGCUUUAUCUUUAGGCUUAUGAAAGGUAACCCGUGGUUACCGGCUCUCCAAGUGAUUCUGUUCUUCUCCAUUUUUGGCAGUUAAUUUGCAGAAGUAACUGACAGCUGACACCAUAUGAGAACCUUUGUAUAAAAUAUUGGCAUGUAAACAGCACAGACACCGUAACACACUCUGUGCCCUGUUUGGUUGUUGACAAUGAAGCACCAUUAUGUGACUCUUCAUAUAACCCUUUUUUCUACGGCAGCAUUAAAAUUGUCUUUUUGCUAUAAUUUUGUGUUGCGUUCACAAUUAUGUCUGAAAUGUGCUACGACUAACGAGCACAUUAAAAUUAAAUUGUAUGCGAUCUGUUUAUGACGGAGCUGGUUGCUGCGGCUGCCAGGUGCUGGCAGUCGGAAGCUGUGCGUAAAUCAGGGGGAGUUUUAGUGAACUUUGGCGUUUGGAGAGCGGGGAGCACUUACUCAGAGGCAGCUUGAAUAGGAUCUGCACCGAGAAUAAACAUUCACAAGAAAGGAAGACUUGCCUAUAAGGUUAGAUGCUCAGUGCAGAAGGGAUAUUGCCAGACCCCCAGAUCAGAGCUUCCGGUCACACCUGGUGACCUGCGGGGGGGCUGGGAUUUGAUCUCCCUUCUGGAUGCUCGGGGGUGAGGGGCCUGCGCUGUCGAGGAGGCUGAU